UAAGGUCUCUUCAAUGCACUGAAAGUAAAUUUAAAGGUGCCUUUUAAUGCCACAGUUUCAAUGGAAAUUGUUUGGGAUCUUUCCUAUUCGCUCUACAUUCUGAAAAGGCCCAUAUGGGGAUAUAAGGCAUUUUUUUGCUGCACAACCUUUCAGUACAAAAUUUGCAUAGCGUAGCAGAAUAGCAUUGGUGGGACAUUGAUAUUGUAACAUGGUUUUGCUUGGCACCAAACAUUAUUUCAACUCUUGCUAGAAAUGUCUAAUGUAUUUCUCAUUUAUUCUCACAGCAAGAACCACAACCACGCACACCACCACAACACACUCCACAAAAUGUUUCUGUCGUCAUGGUAGAAACCAUUACAGACCAGGUCAAAGAAUAAGUAGUGAAAGCAGUGAAAGCGAUGGACUGUGCUGGAAUAUUGACUGUGCUGACAAUUGUCAGACUACAACAACUAAAGGGCCUUGUGAAUCGACAUCAUCGAAAA